rnacentral:rRNA from 1 species
UACAGAGGUGGCAAGCGUUGUUCGGAAUUACUGGGCGUAAAGAGCGCGCAGGCGGUCGUUCAAGUCGAGUGUGAAAGCCCCCGGCUCAACUGGGGAGGGUCAUUCGAUACUGAUCGACUCGAAGGCAGGAGAGGGUAGUGGAAUUCCCGGUGUAGUGGUGAAAUGCGUAGAUAUCGGGGGGAACACCAGUGGCGAAGGCGACUACCUGGCCUGUUCUUGACGCUGAGGCGCGAAAGCUAGGGGAGCAAACGGG